rnacentral:lncRNA from 1 species
GAGUUAGAGAGCGCGAGAUUUAUUUAUUUAAUUGACUUAUUUUACAGAGAUGAUAGUACAACACAAAGAACUCUCGAUCUGGAUAAUUGAUCCUUAGUUGAAAUUUGGCGGGAGUAUGACGAAUCGUUCAUGAAUCGACUAGAUCACAUGUGCGACUUGUGCGAAUAACUCGUCCGUGAAAGCACGGUCGCGGACGAGCGACGACUGAUCGCCAAGUCACUGCAAGCUCGCUGUGAAAAUACGAAAGCUCGAGGAAUGUCCGCGCAAUCUCGGACAAGCCGUUGCGAGGACAGCUCGUGUCGUUCUUGACUCGAUGAAAUGAGCUUUCCGUGUAGCGAACCGGGAGAACUCAUUGUUCCUGAUAUCUCCUAAUUAAUACCGGAAUUACACGAGCGUUCUCACUAUCAGUUUUGUAGAAUUUAUCCGUUUGGAAAGAAGAGAAAAAGAGGUGCGUUUCGUAAAUAUUAUUGAAGAACGCCAAGAGCGUCGAGAGAGAAGUGAUCUUUUAAUUGCGAGAGGGAGACCGUUCGAUAUCGUGGCCGUCACCGAGGUGAUCAUUUUCUCUUUCCCAGUAAUCCCAGAAGAUUUGUUGGGCUUUGCUAUUGCCUUUCCCUCCGUGGUGCUUGGAGGUUUACACGAGGUCCAAUAAGGAGGAAACAUUUCUCUCUCGGCAAUCCGAUUACUGCGUAUAACAGUAAAUACAUCUGAAAUCAAGAACUGCGGAGAUCGAUCGAUACAGUUUAUCACCUUAAUACGCAGCUACGAGCAAGGCCAUUCACGCAACGAAAGCUCCACCGCUCUUUGUAGGUCUUCGUGGCCGCUGACGUUCGCCUGAUGUUCGAUGUUUGAAGCGGAAGCGAAGACGAAGAUGCAUCAAGACAAAAAGACAGAAUGUGUCUACCUCUGGAUUUCUCUUAACACUUUGAACAUCAGCCGAAAGAUUAAAUCGAAGCCUGGAAUCAGUCAAUGUCUCUUUUACGAUUUCUCGAAUAUUGAGACGUAUGUCUCCGAGAAUGAAGAAACGCACAUCGCGAAUCGAUGCAACAAGACGCGAGUCCAUUUCUUCGCUGAACAGAGGAAGGAGAGAAGAGAAAGAAAAAAAGAGAAAGAGAGAGAGAGAGAGAGAGAGAGAAACUGAUUGAAAAUCUUCUUCGCUUCAGAAAGAGCGCGGAUGAGUGCAGGAUACAAUUUCCUCGCAGGAAAUUACGUCUACGAGUUGACGUCAGAAGAGCGCUUCGUUAAUACGCCGCUGUCCUCUACGCUUUUAAAAUGCACGCAGGAUCGAUAUUCAUUGUCACCGUAUCGAUGUCGUCUGUGGUGUUUAAGGUCCGAGGUAACAUACCACCGAUAUGUAACGGAGUUAUCAAUAAAGAAAAAGUAUUCUGACAGAAUCUCGACAGGCAGCAGGAAUUCACGGUCAACGUCGAGGUUCCUAGAGUUUUCGCGAGAUGCAAGACCAAAAUUUCAACUCCGAAGUUACCACCGAGACAUUGAUAAGACGGACAAGUGAACAUGCGACGUAUGCAUGCAGAUGAUAUACGUCUGCGUCUGUUGUGUCGAUUUGGCUGGCGACGUUGCAAUUAAUAGUUUUCGCUCGUACCUUACUUGUUCUAAUUAAGGCAUCACGAUAUCCCGGGACACAUCCCGGUAUCAGCCAAUACUUCUCGCAGGGUCGGCGCGAGAAAAUGAAUCUGAUAUCUCCUGGACUAAGUCUGUAUCUGCAUUAGAGGAUCCUUAUCU